UCCCUGGUGGCUCAGACGGUAAAGCGUCUGCCUACAAUGCAGUAGACCCGGGUUCAAUCCCUGGGUUGGGAA
rfam:TPA: Bos taurus chromosome 29, whole genome shotgun sequence.